GGAGAGGUACCGAAGUGGUCAUAACGGCGCUGACUCGAAAUCAGAUGGUCGGGUUCAUCCCGGCACGUGGGUUCGAAUCCCACUCUCUCCGCCA
rnacentral:tRNA from 1 species